rnacentral:rRNA from 1 species
AACGAACGCUGGCGGCAGGCUUAACACAUGCAAGUCGAACGCCCCGCAAGGGGAGUGGCAGACGGGUGAGUAACGCGUGGGAACAUACCCUUUCCUGCGGAAUAGCUCCGGGAAACUGGAAUUAAUACCGCAUACGCCCUACGGGGGAAAGAUUUAUCGGGGAAGGAUUGGCCCGCGUUGGAUUAGCUAGUUGGUGGGGUAAAGGCCUACCAAGGCGACGAUCCAUAGCUGGUCUGAGAGGAUGAUCAGCCACAUUGGGACUGAGACACGGCCCAAACUCCUACGGGAGGCAGCAGUGGGGAAUAUUGGACAAUGGGCGCAAGCCUGAACCAGCCAUGCCGCGUGAGUGAUGAAGGCCUUAGGGUUGUAAAGCUCUUUCACCGAUGAAGAUAAUGACGGUAGUCGGAGAAGAAGCCCCGGCUAACUUCGUG